GAAAAAGAUCCCACGAAACAAAUGACUACACGAACGCGCCACCGGAUAACCCCGCGGCCCACCGCCGGAAUACAGCUCCGUCGCUGUACCUCGCCAAGACGCCGCGUCUGCACCAUAGGCUCGAGGCCUAACCCUAUCCCGCCCCCCCUACACCCGGAGGAGGCCGCGACGGCGGCGGCGGCGGCGCGAUGCUGUUCCAGGUGGGAGGGCAGGGCGCACGGCCCACCUUCUUCGAGAUGUCCGCGGCGCAGCAGCUCCCGGCCAGCCUCCGCGCGGCGCUCUCCUACUCGUUCGGGGUUUUUGCACUAAGGAGGCCAUCCUUGCAUAAAGUUUUAGAUUAUGAAGAUGAAUUCUUUGCUUUGUUAAUGUCUGUUCUUGAGUCCCAUAGUCUACGAACAACAGAUGGUUCCUUUUCAGAGUCGUUAUAUGGUCUCAGGCGGAGGCCUGUUAACGUUUCUGUGAACAGAAGUAGUCCUGGUGCAGAAUCUAAUGUCAAAGUCUAUGACUCUGCACUAAGGAAGCGCCAGAAAACCCUCUCUGUUAUAUUUUUGGUUGUUUUACCGUAUUUCAAGUCAAAGUUGCAGUCUGUAUAUAACAAAGAAAGAGAAGCAAGAUUGCAGGCAAGCCUAUGGGAUCAGGGUGAGGUUAGAUUCGACGAAGCUGGCUUUGUAUCAGAUCAACAAGGGGAGACUUCUCAAGCACAAGUUGGGACUACAGCUGGAGAAGUGUCACAUCUCACACGCCUUAGGACCAAUUUUGCAGCACUAAUAGGUGUUUGUUAUCCAUGGAUUCAUGCGACUCAUGAAGGCCUUUCAUUUGCUUACCAGUUGCUGUAUUUGUUGGAUGCUACUGCAUUUUACAGUCCAGGACUUCAUGUGCUUGGGCUUCAUGUUUGUCGUGCUACUGGACAAGAGCUGAUGGAUUCAUCUUCUAGGAUAUCAAGAAUUAGAAGUCGUGAACUCGAGAGACUUCGUGGUCCUCCAUGGUUAAAGACUGUCCAGAGGGUGCUCCUUAAUUGUACGUACACGACUCUAGAUUAUGCACAAACUGGUUUAAUUGCUGCGGUCUUCUUUUUCAAGAUGAUGGAGUGGUGGUAUCAAUCUGCUGAAGAAAGAAUGUCAGCUCCGACUGUAUACCCCCCACCUCCUCCGCCGCCGCUACCAAAGGUUGCUAAAGAUGGACUUCCCUUGCCAACUGACAGGACGCUGUGCCCUCUGUGCUGCCAAAAGCGCAACAACCCGUCUGUUCUUUCUGUUUCUGGUUUUGUGUUCUGCUACAGUUGCAUAUUCAAGUCUGUCUCUCAGCAUAAAAGAUGUCCCGUGACGUUGAUGCCUGCCACUGUUGAGCAAAUCAGGCGCCUCUUCCAUGAUUUAUAGCUUGAAUAGGCGCAGUUCAACUAAAGGAAGUAGCUUAUAUGGGCUCAAGGCUGCUAGGGACUCUGGGGCGAGAAGAAGCUUUUCCCGCAUUCCUGUUGAUGCAGAGAUCACACGAGAUACAGUUUCUGCUUCACGUAAUAUCCAUAUAGCUCUUGUGCCAUUUUUGUUGCUUGUUGGAACUUCAACAGAGAUUUAGACCAUGUAAUAAUUACUGUACGUGAUUA
rnacentral:rRNA from 1 species